rnacentral:rRNA from 1 species
GAUGAACGCUGGCGGCGUGCCUAAUACAUGCAAGUCGAGCGAACGGACGAGAAGCUUGCUUCUCUGAUGUUAGCGGCGGACGGGUGAGUAACACGUGGAUAACCUACCUAUAAGACUGGGAUAACUUCGGGAAACCGGAGCUAAUACCGGAUAAUAUUUUGAACCGCAUGGUUCAAAAGUGAAAGUCGGUCUUGCGGUCACUUAUAGAUGGAUCCGCGCUGCAUUAGCUAGUUGGUAAGGUAACGGCUUACCAAGGCAACGAUGCAUAGCCGACCUGAGAGGGUGUUCGGCCACACUGGAGCUUAGACACGGUCCAGACUCCUACGGGAGGCAGCAGUAUGGAAUCUUCCGCAAUGGGCGAAAACCUUACGGAGCAGCGCCGCGUGAGUGAUGAAGGUCUUCGGAUCGUAAUACUCUGUUAUUAGUGAAGAACAUAUGUGUAAGUAACUGUGCACAUCUUGACGGUACCUAGUCAGAAAGCCACGGCUAACUACGUG